UUCUGGCACAUGAAUUGCCAAAAAUGCACCAAAUUUAUUAACAGGCACUCUUCUCACUAAAUUAAGUGCAUUUUCCACACCAGACUGGUAUAUAAAACACCAAUUCCUCCCACAGUGUUAAGCGACACAUUGUGACUGCCUGCAGCCGCCACUAGGGGGAGCUUACUGCAUACUGUGAUAUUGAAUUCAAUGGAUGAACUGUAUGCUGCACAGCUCCCUCUAGUGGUGACUGGCAUCUGAGGGAUCACUCUCCCUCCUUUUGAAUAUUUUCUGAGUCACUUACUGUGCAUUCAUUUUUAC